rnacentral:pre_miRNA from 1 species
CAACUACUCCCUCUGUCCCAAAUUUCUUGUCUUAGAUUUGUCUAGAUACGGAUGUAUCUAAUACUAAAAUGUGACUUGAUACAUCCGUAUCUAUACAAAUCUAAGACAAGAAUUUUGGGACGGAGGGAGUACUUU